rnacentral:rRNA from 1 species
UACGGAGGGGGCUAGCGUUGUUCGGAAUUACUGGGCGUAAAGGGCGCGUAGGCGGCCCGCCAAGUCCGGCGUGAAAGUCCUGGGCUCAACCCGGGGACGGCGCUGGAGACUGGCGGGCUGGAGUCCGGGAGAGGGUGGCGGAAUUCCCAGUGUAGAGGUGAAAUUCGUAGAUAUUGGGAAGAACACCGGUGGCGAAGGCGGCCACCUGGCCCGGGACUGACGCUGAGGCGCGAAAGCGUGGGGAGCAAACAGGAUUAGAAACCCCCGUAGUCC